GCGCCGCUAGCUCAGCUGGAUAGAGCGUCUGACUACGGAUCAGAAGGCCGGGGGUUCGAAUCCCUCGCGGCGCA
rnacentral:tRNA from 1 species